AGGUUACCGUAGGUGAACCUGCGGUAGGAUCAUUGUUGGUUCCGAGCCACGAACUGUGUAGGGGAGGAGGCGCGCUCGACAUGGUCGGGACUCGUAGCCUCCCCGACCCCCGCUCUCGUCGGCGUGUGGACUGGAGGGCCUGUUGACUUGUCGUGCAUCUAUCUCGCGAUUCUCUCCGGAUGGAUGUCGCGGCGGGCCUCGCGCCUCCGUAAGUCAUUCGCUUGCGGUUCGGGGUACGAUUCAAGGGCGUGACGGAGUGUGCCGCUGCACUCCUCAGCAGCGCCCGCGGCGGCCGGUGGACUCCUCGGGGAGUCCGCGAGGCACAGCUGCAACCCCCCGUUGCGUCGACGAAGGGAGAAAUGUCGUGUAAAGGUGUUGUUGGUGGUGCGGACGGGCGCACUCGCGCAAGCCGCGGGGCAGGACCUCUCGUCGCCGUCCCCCUUCCCUCUUUGACGGCAUGUGUCCUUCCGAUGUUGCGGGGCGGGGACAUCUCCCGUCUCACGUGCCACCCAUGAGGCAUCGCCUCUGGACCCCGGUGGCAAUUGCGGGACGGGCAGUGUGUCACAAACACUUAACACUGCGGUGCAGUUCGCACCAAGGAUUGAAAGAUAGCCGCGCGGGCCGCACGCCGUGUGCGUGCGGGAUUGCCGGCGCCAUGAGAACACGACUCUCGGCAACGGAUAUCUCGGCUCUCGCCACGAUGAAGAAUGUAGCGAAAUGCGAUACUUAGUGUGAAUUGCAGAAUCCCGUGAAUCAUCGAGUCUUUGAACGCAAGUUGCGCCCGAGGCUUCGGCCGAGGGCACGUCUGCUUGGGCGUCGCACUUCUAAAUCGCCCUCCCCCCUGCGGCCUUGGGCGGGAGGAGCGGAUAUGGCCGUCCGUCCCCCAACAGCGGUGCGGUCGGCUUAAACAGGCACGGGGUCCGUCGCCCAUGUCACGACGAGCGGUGGCCCAAGCGGGUCGGCGUUAGUUUGUGCCGGGCGGGUGCGGCUAUGUGCGGAACUUUAUCUGGGAGCGGGCGGCUUUGCAUGCGUGCGGGUCAGCCUGUUUGCCUUCCGCG
rnacentral:rRNA from 1 species